rnacentral:misc_RNA from 1 species
GCAAACUUGGUCAUUUAGAGGAAGUAAAAGUCGUAACAAGGUUUCCGUAGGUGAACCUGCGGAAGGAUCAUUACAGAACGACCUCGGUCGAUCUCUCCUCGCUGUGCGGCUUCGGCCUGCACGCUUGGAAUCCACACACCUGUGCACUUCGUUCGGGGCAACCCGUUCGCCACUAAAACUUAUAACGUCUCGAAUGUCUUUACUAUACAAUACAACUAUGAGCAACGGAUCUCUUGGCUCUCGCAUCGAUGAAGAACGCAGC